UCUCAAAAUUCAGUUCUCUGUUCUUUCUUGCAAGUAGAUGUCCAACACCAAGAAUUUGUUUAUUUUCCAUAGGGAGGGUCUGAAUCCUACUUCUGUACAUCAAGUUGGUGCAAGAUUUAGAAAUCUAGAUCAUGCUUGGCCGUUUGGGUUUAUAAUGGAGGUCAAGUAGGCUUAGAGGUAAAAACAAGUCUGAUAGCAAGGUGACUUCAUGUCAAUAUGUUUGUGCAAAGGUGGGUUAUCGACAACCGAGAUUGUGUGAUAAAUAAUCUCCCAUACGAUCAUGUGAUAAGAAUUAAGGUACCUAUGUUGGUGGAAACAAGCAAAUUGUACACUGCCACCAUAUUUGAACCGUUUCAAGGUCAAUAUGAAAGAUCAAUGGCUGCAUACACAAUAGUACUAGAGGAAUAUAACACAUGCCGUUGCAAUUGGGAGUGGGGAUGGUGGUUUAGCUUUUGUGGAGAAGAAGCGGAUUGUUGUUGGUAAUCCUUUAGAGCAAAUAACUUUAUAUAGUUGUGGGCUAUUUACAAGAACUGGCACACUGUGUUGUCAUGCUUUGAAAGUUCUUGACUUGAUGAAUAUCAAGUUGUCGCUGAAACAAUAUACGGAGUAUUUUGAAGUGAUGGACAAGGGAGGCACGUUGUGGAAUGAUACAAGACAAUCGAGGAAGAAGCAUUGUUGAAUAUCCAAAAUUGGAUGCUGUUAUAGGUUUCUCACAUAAAUGUCUGAACUUGGUGUAUGCUCUAGCCGGCUUUCCGGAGUGUCCUUGUUAGUAGAUAAUGCACUUAAUAGUCUUCCUAAGCAGCUUGAGGAGAAAAUCAAUGCAUCUUCAAGUAUGGCAAGUAACUCACAUAACGCCCAAGAUGUUCGACAAGAAUAAGAUUUACCUAGUGUUGCAUGGCUCAAGAAAAAGGAGGUUCAACCAAGAAGUUAAGACACAAAAAAUAAGUUGGGUUGACAAAUUACACAAGUUCAAAAAGAAAGUUUCUACUAAAUCUAGCGUAUGUUCCUUUAGGAACUUGCCAUUUUUUGUUCUUAUUCAUACAUACGCAGAAUAACAAGUUGCACUUCUUCAUGCAGCUUUCCUGCUGUACCGACAAUUAAGAUGACUUGGAACAAUUCAGUGAGAUGGGUAGCAUCACUAGCUACAUUGAACUUCUGACUGGUCAUAGUCAGCUUGCUGAUUUAGGACUUGAGCAUCUUCUUUAGGCCUCUCUUUUAGUAAUUACUGUCAUUGUGUUAUUUUGUUCAUGGAGCAAACUGUAACUGUGCAGUUUGAUUUACAACGCCAAAACUGAAUGUAGUUUGACGCUGCUCUUUUGCUUUGUUAA